UGAUCCUGGCUCAGAACGAACGCUGGCGGCAGGCCUAACACAUGCAAGUCGAGCGCGCCUUCGGGUGAGCGGCGGACGGGUUAGUAACGCGUGGGAACGUGCCCUUCUCUACGGAAUAGCCUCUGGAAACGGAGAGUAAUACCGUAUACGCCCUUUGGGGGAAAGAUUUAUCGGAGAAGGAUCGGCCCGCGUUAGAUUAGGUAGUUGGUGGGGUAACGGCCUACCAAGCCUACGAUCUAUAGCUGGUUUUAGAGGAUGAUCAGCAACACUGGGACUGAGACACGGCCCAGACUCCUACGGGAGGCAGCAGUGGGGAAUCUUAGACAAUGGGGGCAACCCUGAUCUAGCCAUGCCGCGUGAGUGAUGAAGGCCUUAGGGUCGUAAAGCUCUUUCGCCUGUGAUGAUAAUGACAGUAGCAGGUAAAGAAACCCCGGCUAACUCCGUGCCAGCAGCCGCGGUAAUACGGAGGGGGUUAGCGUUGUUCGGAAUUACUGGCGUAAAGCGCGCGUAGGCGGAUUAGAAAGUUGGGGGUGAAAUCCCGGGGCUCAACCCCGGAACUGCCUCCAAAACUGCUAGUCUAGAGUUCGAGAGAGGUGAGUGGAAUUCCGAGUGUAGAGGUGAAAUUCGUAGAUAUUCGGAGGAACACCAGUGGCGAAGGCGGCUCACUGGCUUGAUACUGACGCUGAGGUGCGAAAGUGUGGGGAGCAAACAGGAUUAGAUACCCUGGUAGU
rnacentral:rRNA from 1 species